AUGUAAUGAUGAUCUGCCAUGCUAAUACUGAGGGAUCAUCUGGAUCUCGUUGAGUUGAACUCUAACAUUUACUGAAUAAU